GGGCUGAACCAGUCAGUAUCGGCCCAGAAGAAGGGGAGGCCUGUGUAUUUAUAGGCCAGGUAACCUUUCCCACAACUACAGGCUCCGGCUACAGGCUCAGCCUUCCCAUAUAGCCGGACCUUAAAUCACUUACUACUAUUAUAUUUUUCCAUAACACUCCUUUAAUUGAAGUGUAGAUAAAUACAAAAUGUCCUGUUUCACUAAACUAGCUCAAAUGGGCAUGUGAAAUGAGAAAGAAGGGGGUUAUUAUGAAUACAAGGCCAUACUGAAUAUCAUUCUCAGUACCUAAAGGACACUCUAAGCAUCAAAAUAACUUUAGCUUAAUGAAGCGGUUUUGGCGUAUAGAUCAUGUCUCUGCAGUCUCACUGCUCAGUUCUCUGCCAUUUCGGAGUUAAAUCACUUUGUUUAUAUAGACCUAGCCACACCUCCAUGCAUGUGACUUAUGCAGCCUUCCUAAACACUUCCUGAAAAAGAAGUCUAAGACUUCCGUUAUUGCACAGUCUGUUGAAUUUAGUGCUUACCUCCUGUUCUGUUAAUAGCCUGCUAGAGCCUACAACAGUUUCCUGUGUCUGAUUAAAGUUCAAUUAACAGAUCAUGAGAUAAGGUCUACUAAGUGAGCAAACUGUGCUGUAAAAAUCAAACCUUUUUUUCCCAUAGAGACUGUAUAAGUCAGAGCCAGGGAG